CUGGGCAGCUGAAUUACAGACUUCAGGUGAGGAACAGGAAGGGCAGAAGUCUUGCUGUACCAGUCCCAUCGCAUACCAUUAACAUACCACAUGCAGUGUUCAUAAUUUCCCAGACUGGUUUAAGGGGGAAUUUACUUGGUUAAACUUGCUCUACGAGGCUCAGGGAUUAGUCCUCUGUUCAUGUUGUGCUCAUGCUCGCUAUGACUGGGAGGCAGGAGAUGAUGUUGCACUGUCUUACCACCAACCCAGAGUCCCAGGAUCCCAGGGACUGAACCAGACUCUUGUAUAUCAGGCUCCCCAGAGAAACAAAAUCUGAUAUUUUUUCUCUUGUUGGGGGCAUAGUGAAAAUAAGAGUUGAGAGGUAAAAUUAGUUCAAACUUCUCUUCAUACUAGUUCACUUUUGCUCCAGUUCAUGCCUGCAACGGCUGUACAGAUAGCUUGUUCUCAAGUAAAUAAUUUCUAGCAUUCGUGCAACAAAAACAUAGCCUUCUUUUAACCCUUGGACUACCCUUACUCCUCCAAAUGGAACCAGCUUGGUCAUACCAUUCUCUUAUGCAAAUGUUGGUAGUCCUCAUCUAAAGGGAAGUUGAAAUGAAGGCUCCCUCUGCCCUCUGUUGGGCAGUUAAUGACAAAGUGGUAGCACAAACAUUCAGAACCUGGUAAAGUGUGGUAUGUCUCUACCAAGGAGCAGGGAGGAGAAAGCUGCAGUGAAUCUGGAAUUUGUUGAAUUUAACAUCACUGGGACAAUUGGUAUAGUCAUUGGAAUUCCAUUUAUUUUUGCAGGGGUUGCUUACAUUUGGGGGAAAGUAUUUCCUGGUAAGGGAAAUACAUUCUUGCAUUUCCUGGGUAAGAGUGAACCAAGGUACAGAAUACAACAUCAGAUAUUUUCACUGCCUGUGGAUACCACUUUGAGACAUCCAGGGUUUGAUUUGUCACAGUAUUUGGCACUGUUCCACAUUUUCUAAGGUCAGUGAUAUACCCUGGACUUCAGCCCAUGUUUCCUGGCAGAACACUGGUCAAGGAAUAUGAAAGAGCAUAGCCUGUUCAUCACGUUCCCCAGGAUGGCAACUACUUGGGUGCAACGUACCCUGAAGGACGCCCUCAGCCUCUGUGGUGUGCAGCAGUGAGGGACCGCGUUGACUUGCUGGCAGACACCUGACAUCCUGCAGAGGAGUGAUGUGCUGCCUGGCAGCUGCUCUGGGUGAGGUGCUGUGGGCUGACUGGCAGGUUCCCCCAAGAUUUCUUGGAGUUAACCAUCAGACCAUUCUUGUCACCGAUACCCAUAUUCUGCCUGCUGUGACAAUUGAGGUACAGCCCCACAGAAAAAA
rnacentral:lncRNA from 1 species